rnacentral:piRNA from 1 species
UGUGCCAUGAAGAAUUUGUUGCCCUGUGGCUU